rnacentral:rRNA from 1 species
UACAGAGACUGCAAGCGUUAUUCGGUUUCACUGGGCGUAAAGGGUGCGCAGGCGGCCGGGUGUGUCAGAUGUGAAAUCCCGAGGCUCAACCUCGGAACUGCGUCUGAAACUACUCGGCUAGAGUACUGGAGAGGGUAGCGGAAUUCACGGUGUAGCAGUGAAAUGCGUAGAUAUCGUGAGGAACACCAGAGGCGAAGGCGGUUACCUGGACAGUUACUGAUGCUCAGGCACGAAAGCGUGGGGAGCCAAAGGG